CCAUCCUCUCGCUGCUUUCCCUCCCUCGCUUUCCUCCCCGGAGCCGCCGCUUUCUCCGCCUCCCCCGAGUGCGGGAUCGCUGCUCAGUUGGGCGCUGCUGAAGCAGCUCCGAGCGAACUCUCUCAGAGUUUGCCACCGGAGAGCGGUGGAAGCUGCUUUUGUAAAGACAUUGAGGCUCUGGUUGUGUGCGCAGAGAGGCGCGGAGUUUCCUGAAUUCAAAUUGUGUAGUGGAAUCUUAGAAUCGCAGAUAAGUUCAGCCUAAAGUUCAAUCUAAAGUUCAGCUCGUCCAGAACCCUGCCAUGGGCAGGGGCUCCUUCCACUGUCCCAGGUCCAACCUGGCCUUGGACACUUCCAGGGAUGGAGCAUCCACAGCUUCCCUGGGCAACAUGUGCCAGUUUUCCACCACCCUAAGUGUAAAAAUCUUUUCAUUGUAAAUAACUUAUUUCUUAUACCUAAUCUGAGUCAACGUUCCUCCAGUUUAAAACCAUUACCCCUUGUUCUAUUGAAACAGGCCCUGCUAAAAAGUCUGUCCCCUUAUUUUUUAUAAGUCCCUUUCAAGUAAUGAAAAGCUGCAUUGAGGACUCUGGAGUCUUCUUUAGCUGAGCAAACCAAAUUUUCUCAGCCUUUCUUCACAGGAGAGAUGCUCCAGCCCUCUGAGCAUCGUCUGGAUUCACUGCAGUAGGUCCACUGAGCUGUCCUAUCCAUGUCCUGUCCUCUGCAGCUUCUCCUGUAGAGCUGGAACAUCACAGAAUGCUGCUUGUGAGCUCAUGAGUGGUGCCAGAGCUCCUUCCCAGAGAUAUCACUGCUUCUGUACCCUGGUCACGACACGGUCAUUGCCACAGGACAUGGACAUCAGAAUCAGUGCAUGGGAUUGCCAUGGAGAAUGCUGGGGAAGAUGUUUGGGCCCUUAUUAAGGACAGAAAUAGAUAUGCAUGAGUACAGCUUGAGAUCUAUGUUUCAUGCCAAUAUUACCUGACUGGCAGUUUCAUUUUAGCUUCAAGGUUCUCUGAAGGGUGUUGCCCACUGAGCCUCAGUUCAACCUUUCUGUUUCUGCUACCAGGCACAUCCUGAAAUGCCCUCCCUAGACACGGGGACAGCCUGUGCCAGGUGAGACCACAGCUUGAGAGGAAUCACCAGCAGCUUCCCCGAACUGGUGCUUUGACCCUCCCAGUGGCAAUAUCCAUUUACAGCUCCCUCUUCUUUUCACUGUGUUUGAAAGGAAAACGCAGUUCCCCAGACAGGUUUGUAGUGUGGUCAUGGAGGGGUUUGCUGACCUCCUUCAGAGGUGAGGAGGUGCAGGGCAGGGUGAGAAAUCUGAGAAAUCCCAUCCAGGGCUGUGGCCUGAGCUGCCCUUUGGUGAAACAGGCUGGGAAAAGGGGUCAGUCCCUCACACACCUCCUUCCCCCUCAGCUUCCCACCCAGAUGCCAAAAAUGUGCUGAUGUUGCUCCCUGCCAGCACCCAGCUGGGUAAAGGACAUCUGCCUUAUGCAGGGAACAGAUCCUUCUCCCAUGUAACACCUUUCACAGAAUUCAGAGUGGACGUGGGGAAGCACCUCUGGCUGGGCUGUGAAUGCCAUGGGGUAGAUGUGCAUUUUUAGCAUGAGACCUUUGAACUCACUGCCAUCGACUGAAACUGGAGAGUGGAGAGUGAAAUUGCAAUCUUUAUUUGAGCAGUGAGGCUGCUGCAGACCUUGUCUUGUUUGCCAGUUCUUCUGUUCUGCUGAUUGCUGAUAGAUAUGUGGAUUUGAUUUAAAUUCAGGAUAGCAGAAGACAAUGAGGUGCUGUCACAAAUCCAGACAGCAGGGUUAUUAGGAUUGCCCAAGAGUUGUUGGGAGUGAAUACCCAAAGUGUGCUCAGCUCUGUGCAUAACUUUAUUUUCUUUUCUUCAAUGUGCCUUCUUCAGAAACAUUUACCACCACUGCCUCUCUGACACAUGGAAGAGAAGCUGUUUAGUUUCUAUCUCUUAAAACUGAUAAAGUGUUCACAAGCAAGGGAAGCUUCUUUAGAGAAGAAAAGCCUUUUUUUGGUUACAAAACAGCAAUUUCGUUGUCCUUGCAAGAUAUUAAUAGGGAGGAAGUUGAAAAUAUUUUAUAAAUGCUUCAUACAUAGGCUAUUUAUUAUGCUCAUUUCCUAUUUCCUUGCUUAGAAAUUGUCUCAGGGUCACUCGAGGCUGUGGCUGGAGAUGCACAGCAGCUCUCCCCGGGUUGUCUUGCCUCCUGCUGGCUCACAUUUGCCACCUGUGGCCACAUCCAGAGAGAAUCAAAUCCUUUCAGAAAUAAUUACACGCAGUCCUGAAAACAGUUGUGUUCAGGUAUGGCAAAUCAGAUGUGUCCUGAACAUUUAUAGUAAUAAUCUGUUUGUUUUCUUGUGCUUGCCUAGGGGACACAGGCAUUUAUUCCCCAGGGAGCACAAUAGGUGGAUGGGGAUGGAAGAUUGCUGUGGUAAUGUUUGCAACUCAUCAGCAGGACAAAGCACUGCAGCCCUUUGAAGCUUCCCACAAAGAAUUCGGCAUGUCUGAGUCAAGCAGGGGAAGGGCUGGGGUCUGGGGGAGGGCUGGGGCAGCAGGAGAUUUUUGGUCUGAAGAAAAGCAGAUGUGAACGCAGGGUGUGUCCAAACUCCCUGUCCCAGCAGCUCGUCCUGCCUGCUGAGGAGGCACAUUUUUGUUUUGAAGGAGCUGAGUCAAGCCCCAGCAUUGCAGAACCGAAGCUCCUGAGGUGGGUUUUGCUGCUGCAUCUGCCCGAGCUCCCAGAGGAAUCCCCUUCUCUCCCCCAGGGCAGUGCCAGCCUCCCUGCCCCACUGUAGGAACAGCUCCCAUCCAAACAGGACCAGUGCUGAUGCCAGCCCAGAUUCCAGUCUGAGCAGGGAUCAGCAAUGCUCAAUCUCUGUUAAAUAUGCCCCUGGGGCUUGUCUCUGGUUUCCAGCAUCAAAAACAACAUUGCAGGAAGAACAAGAGCAACACCGGAGCUGCAGGAAUUAGGUUGAUUCUGUUGCCUCUGGGAAUUUUAACGCUGAGUCUGCCACAGGGAAAAAGAGCUGGGAGGAGCUGGGUGCAACCACUCAGCAAGUUGCUUUAGAUUUUAAGUUUCUUUGUGUUAAGAGUCAGUUUUCUUCAACACUGAAUCAUUUUGUAGAUUAGAGGCAGUGAUUCACAGAGCCAUCAUCGCCUUACUCAGAAAAUAACCUGUUGCACAUCAAAAUAAGUUUAAUAACCUGUUUCAUUCUCUUGCAAGCCUCUCCUUUGUAAUCAGAGUGGCAAUAUUGCCAGCCAGCUGACUGCCAGGGUCUCCAGAGUGUGGUUCUUAAAAUGCAAUACAGGAAAUUCCCCAGAUUUAAAAAAUGUUCCUGAGGCAAGAUUUGUAGGAAAAAACCCAGUAACUUCUGCUUCAUUUGCACUUUGCAAAUCAAAAGAGGGGCCCGAAGGGUAGGCUGCAUUCCUUGUUUGUAAUCCUGGCUUGCUGUGUGUCUGACUCAGGCUGUGUCUGAUCCUUGAGGUCACACAGUGGUUUUAACUCCAGAUUUGCACGUGAACAAAGCAGUCCAGUGAUGCUCUAUGUUUAGGCAUGACUUGCAAGCAUGCAGCAAGUGGAGAAUGUGUGUGCAGUGUGACCCUUCAGCUGCUGGUGCUCGCCUGCACUAGAUAUAUCAGUGUAUAUAAAUAUAUCCUGCACUAGAUAUAAAUGUGUGAGAUUUUGUUCUCUUUGUGCCCCUCCUUAGAGCCAGUCCUGUUGUGACAGCCUCCACAGGCCCAGAGCUGUUGUCACUGCUCGUGAUGGAGUGCACGGAGAGAGAAAGCUCCCUCUGACCUCACGAUUCCUUGGCUGAGCCUGGCUGAAGGCUGGAUGGCUGCACCCUCCUAGAGAGACAGGCUGACAGGUCCCCACAGGGAAGGAAUGUCAUGAGAAACAGACUGCUUAAAAACCCUACUAAUCAGAUAAUCCCUGAACAUGGUGCUGUUCCAGACCUGAAGUCUCCAUAUCUGCAUGGAUGCAGAGCUCUGUUCUGUGAAUGAAUGCACACUCCUCCCUAAACCUGCACACAGACAUUUGAAUACAUUACAUAUUACAGAUCUAAUUCCUCCCAGUGCAGGGUAAUCCUGGUUCGGUGCACUUAGCAAAACUUUGAUUUAUUGUGCUUCAAAUACUCUGGAUGACAUUCAUCCCCAGAUGGAGUUCUGCUGUAGCUGAGACAAACACGUGUUUUGCCUGUAGGACACCUGCUACUACACUUAAGGUGGAAAAUGUUCAUUUUUCAAGCAAAUCCUGAUCACUGUUUGGCAAAAAGGUCAGCCAGUGGUCACACAAUGGAGCUGAAUGAUUUCACAGACUGAACCUCUGUGCCCCAAGGAGGACAAAGGUUUUCAAGCUAUGUGGUAUCUACUUUUGAAAUCUAUUUUUCAAAAGAAAAAAAAAAUUAAAAAAACCCCUUCUAAACCCCCGAAUAUAUAUAUAUAUUUAUAUAUUUGAAGCAUUUCUUCCUGGUCGUGGCAGUUCAACAUUGCUGUGGCUCAGUUCAGUGCUGAGUGGAGGGAACAGCUUGGGCUGUGCUGCUGGCAGCUGAGAUAAUCUAGUCACGACUUGCUGUGCCUCUCCUGUUAUGAAAUCCCUGGUGCUGGAUAAACACAGGACAUCUGCCUUCCCUUCUCACACCUCCUUUUUGACUGCAAAUAAGUGCUGGGUGUAGCACUGACCUGAACUGAAUAUUGUAAAUUUGCAGGUGACUGGAGACACACAGAGCUCUGCACUGAGACUUCAGGGACAGGAGUGAUCCCUGCAGAAAUCCCAGAGGCUCAGAUUGUGCUGGGGACUCACCCAGCUAAUGGGAUUAUUGGGGAAAAAUGGUGUGCCCUUCAGGAAUCCAGUGAGGGGUCUAUUGGAACAAGCACUGCAAUGUUAGGGUGCAACCCUACCCUGCAGCAAAGCCAAGGGAAUAGGCUGGGGAUGCUGCAGAGGGACUGUCCUGUCACUCAGCUCUUGCUCCCAGGAAUCAGCAUUCACCUGUCCCUGCCCUGGGCCAGCCCACGGAGCAAAACAAGGAAUGGCAACAGCUCCACGUAAACACAGAAUCAUUUCUUUUGGCAGUUUGCUCCCUGACUGGAGUUUCCCCAAAUGUUUUGUUUUCACAGCUGAUGGUUUUUUGGGUUGAAAUACGUGUGAGUGUCUUUGGGACCUUGCAUUGGAUGUGGGCCUGCCCUGGUUCCAAUUCACAGCAAAGCCACAUGAACUGCAGCAGGAACAGGCUCGAUUGAUGGCUCUCAGCCUGGAAAUACUCUUCUCAACACUGCGUGGCUUUCCAAAGCUGGAUGUGAUCAACAGUAUCACUGCAGUGUUUUGUUAGGUUAGAUGGCCAAUCUGUGAAGAAGCCAAAUACAGACAUGCUUUCCUUUAAAGUUAGUAAAAAAUGCUUUAAAAAAACCCUGGUGAAGAGUUGCCAAGGGUUCCCUGAGUUUUAAAUUUAAGGAAUAUUUGCAGUUUAGAAGUUAUUUACUCUGGCUGGAUUUGUAGACCGAACAGGAGAAAACCUACCUUGACUUAAAAGUCAAGGAAAAGUACUUGUCUUUUUACUUAUUUCACAUUUCAGCUCUGAUGGACUUAAAAACAAAGCUCUGGUAAUGUGCUUGUGUAUUUGUCUAAGCCCAUAAAGAUAAUCUUAGCCCUUGAGGGCUUACAGUCAAAAUCAUUUCUUUGCAGCUCCUUGGGUACAUUGAGGCAAGCUGAGCAGCACCGAUGGAAAUAUUCUGAUAAUUUACCUCUGCAGUACUCGCAGGGCUGAUGUCUUAAAAAAAACCCAGCCGGGCAUGGAUAAUGAAAUCUGUUGCUGCUGUCAGAUCUACCUGUGCUAUUAGAUUUCAUAUUCAGAUUUUAUUUUUCUCAGAAGACUACAUUAAUUGGAAUAAGCGUUUCUGUUUGUAUAAGGAAAGAAAAGGAAGAUGUCACCAUGCUGGAAAGCCUUACCUGACUUUUCUUGAUCCCACAGGAGCUCAGCUGAACAGUUGGUUCUUAGUGCUCCAGUCCAGGCUUAGACUGUGCCUUCGAGGGCAUUGCUGUGACUGUAACAAGUGGCAUCUUCCUUCCCUUGGCUGUCCACACAGACCACCAAAACCAGGAUUUGCAGUGGUAUGAUAUUUGAAAAGGCUGGGAACUUCUGUUGCACUUGUGCAGGAGAACUGGUUAUGAAAAAAUAAGAAUGAAAAAGGAAUUGGGAGUUUUGGAGGGUUUUUUUUUGCAGGGAUCUUUGGAGCCCCAGCGCUGGGUGCAGUGCCUGGCCCCUCAUGCUGAGCCUCUCCAGCUGCACAGGGAGAUGGGGAGGCAAGUCUGACUGCUGCCUUUGCAUGCUCUCAGUAUGGGAUUUUUGGGGGAGGAAAAAAGCCCUUAUGAACAGACACAGUCACCCCAAAUGUGCACUGCUGCUUUGCUGAGCUGUUCUGGCUUUGCAGUGCUCCAAAACCCACGGUGCAUUCGUGGAUGUGAUGGGCUGGGUGUGAAAAACACCAAAGGUAACUCACCUGAAAACUAAAAUAACUCAGAGCCCAGCUGCUGGUUGUGCCAUGGAACCCAGAGCAGAGCAUCAGGGCUGCUUUGCCAUGGGGUUCUUGGAAAGGUCAUCUGCCAGCAUCAGGAACAGGGUGUACAUGGGCUGGAAAAGCUGCCUUUUUUCUUACAGUGAAUUGUCUUUUGCACCUUCAAAAAAGCAAGAGAUGCCACAGCACAGGGGCAGAAAUAGCCCAACUUCUUCAGGUGUUACCCUACACCACUUCCAGGAGCACUCACAGCUCUCUGUAGGUUUUUGGAGAUGCUGCUUAUGCAGCCCUCACUGACACAUUCAGAUGUCUGUGCAGGCAGUGGAGAUAGCCCUGAAAUGGAGAUAGCCCUGAAAAUACAGCUCUCCAUGAGUGAGGAGAUAGCCCUGAAAUGGAAAUAGCCCUGAAAAUACAGCUCUCUAUGAGCGUGGAGAUAGCCCUGAAAUGGAAAUAGCCCUGAAAAUACAGCUCUCCAUGAGUGUGGAGAUAGCCCUGAAAUGGAAAUAGCCCUGAAAAUACAGCUCUCCAUGAGUGUGGAGAUAGCCCUGAAAUGGAAAUAGCCCUGAAAAUACAGCUCUCCAUGAGCCUGCCCCAUGCCCUGAGCACAGAGCAGCACAUUUCCCCCGGGUGCUCUCGCUCACCCUCCUGGCUCUGCAGACACGCUCGGGCAGCUGCAGCAAGCCCGGGUCACUGCACACACCCCAGCUGGGUCCCAGGGUCUGAACUAAGGGCCAGAUCACCUGAAAAACACCCUCCCAGCCUGCCAAGGGCUGAAUCAUCCAUGCUGAGGAACCACAGAACGUUUGGGUUGGAAGGGACGUUAAAGUUCAUCUCGUGUCACCCCCUGCCAUAGGCAGGACACCUUCCACUGGAUCAGGUUUCUCAAAGCCAUGGCCAAGCUGGCCUUGGAGACUUCCAGGGAUGGGGUAUCCCUGGGGUGGAAUGGUUAUGAGGUUCUUGUUUGUUUGGGUGGGUUUUUUUGGUUUUUUUUUUUCAAGAACUCUGAGUAAUUCCCCAUGGGCAUGACUGUGCUGCCUUGUCUGUGCAUGAAUUCACAGGUCGCGGCUGGGCUGUCCCAAACGUUCUGGAGCAGUUCCCACAAUAACAGUUCCUGUUUGACGGUGUUAUUUUAGAAAUUGCUGCACCAGACAUUGCUUUAAAUGCUCCCUCUGCUGGCAAAUGAUUGUCUUUCAACUAAAAACCUCAGACUGGAAUUAGAUUGUCAUCAAAUUGCCAGGUUAACAGUAAGAAUUCCCUUUAUUCCUUCACCACAUCCUGAUUCCCACCUCUCAAUGGCACUGAGUGUACUGCAGCUUUCCUGACACUGGCACAGUGUGGGAGAGGGGCUUUUGUAUAACACCAAUUAGUAUUGCUGAUUUAGGUCUCGUCAAUAUAAAAUUUAUUCUCUCCUUUAACAAAUUUUGCCUCUCCAACACCCCUAGCCUAUCUUACGAAUGGAAGUGUUGGGGUUUGAGAUUCUGCUUCAGAAAGGAAUAGUUGUUGUAAUGGAAGUAUUUAGUGUUCUCUACAUUUUAUU